GGAUGAAGAUGAUGGAGGUUGGGUGACAGGGGAAUUGGAAUUUGGAGUUGGGGCAUAGGGGUAGGGUGAUUGAGAUGUUGGGGAAGGAGUGUUUGGAGGUGACGGAAUGUAGGGAGGUUGGGAAAUGGGAGAAGGAGUGGUGGAUGGUGGUGUGGAAAUGUAAGAAGGUGGCUGGGAUAUUGGGGAAGGAGUGGUGGAUGGUGGUGUGGAAAUGUAAGGUGGCUGGGAUAUUGGGGAAGGAGUGGUGUUUGGAGGUGAUGGGAUGUAAGGAGGCUGAGAUAUUGGGGAAGGAGUGUUUGGAGGUGAUGGGGUGUAAGGAGGCUGGGAAGUAGGAGAAGGAGUAUUGGGUUGUGGAGGCACAUAAGGUGACUGAGAAAAGGGUGAUGGGGUUAUUGGAACAAAGGGUGGUUGAUGAUGAGGGGAAGGGGUGUUUGGAGGUAGAGGAGCAUGGGGUGGAUGGUUAUUAGGGGAAGGAGCAUAAGUGGGAGAAGGUGUGUUGGGAGGUAUGGGAGCAUAGGGUGGUUGAGCUUUGGGAGGAAAGGGAAGAUUAGUAGGAGGUGAAGGUGCUUCUGGAGGAGUAUAAACAG
rnacentral:lncRNA from 1 species